CAGGGUGCUGGCCUGGCUCACAGGCAUGCCUCCUUCCGGGACCUCCUCCACCCCCUACAGUUUGGCGCUCAGUAAUCUCUUGUUUUCUUGUCUCCCUCAGGACACUGGGUCCCCUUGGAGCCUCCCCAGGCUUAAUGAUUGUCCAGAAGGCGGCUAUAAAGGGAGCCUGGGAGGCUGGGUGGAGGAGGGAGCAGAAAAAACCCAACUCAGCAGAUCUGGGAACUGUGAGAGCGGCAAGCAGGAACUGUGGUCAGAGGCUGUGCGUCUUGGCUGGUAGGGCCUGCUCUUUUCUACCAUGGCAGCCCAGGGCUAUGGCUAUUAUCGCACUGUGAUCUUCUCAGCCAUGUUUGGGGGCUACAGCCUGUAUUACUUCAAUCGCAAGACCUUCUCCUUUGUCAUGCCAUCAUUGGUGGAAGAGAUCCCUUUGGACAAGGAUGAUUUGGGGUUCAUCACCAGCAGCCAGUCGGCAGCUUAUGCUAUCAGCAAGUUUGUCAGUGGGGUGCUGUCUGACCAGAUGAGUGCUCGCUGGCUCUUCUCUUCUGGGCUGCUCCUGGUUGGCCUGGUCAACAUAUUCUUUGCCUGGAGCUCCACAGUACCUGUCUUUGCUGCCCUCUGGUUCCUUAAUGGCCUGGCCCAGGGGCUGGGCUGGCCCCCAUGUGGGAAGGUCCUGCGGAAGGUGAGUGCUUCCAAAGAGCCUGUUUGGAUUGUCAUAGAGGAUGCCUAAAGAGCAUGUGGGAGCGCCCUUUCUUACCCACCACCUCCACACCCAACCCAGAGCAGGUUCCUGAGCAGUUCCUGGCCAGCUCCUAUUGCUUGUCAAGAUAUUUUAGGAGGCUGAGAGUGGUGGGAUCAGGUGGCAGAGGAGGAAACUGCCCUGCCAAACAGAAGCGCCCUCUCCCUCUUCCCUGUAAUGUGAGCUUCUGGGGCUGCCCCAUCUGACCCCACCCUCAACAUGGGCAGUAGGCUGGACACCUACGUGUCGCCCUCUGCCCCACAGUGGUUUGAGCCAUCUCAGUUUGGCACUUGGUGGGCCAUCCUGUCAACCAGCAUGAACCUGG
rnacentral:lncRNA from 1 species